UGCUGGUGUGUGCCGUGCUCCUUGACCCUGCCGUUCUGAAUCACCACGAUGACGUCUGCGUUCUGGAUGGUGGAGAGGCGGUGCGCGAUCACGAUGCAGGGCUCAAGCAAGUCUACAAGCUGGACAGCUGUUCCAGGUCACCUACCCCAGCAAAGUUCCUCUCUCCUAAACCUGAUCCCAACUCUUUCAACCCUUCUCACAAGCAGAGCUACGUGACCAGGCGAUGUUCUCCCCGAUGCUGCAGUCAAACAGGAUGGGCUCUUGGGACACAAUGCCCAGCUGUGCUCGCAGCCACUGGACAUUCAGUUGCUGUAUUUCUUUACCAUCCACAAGCUGAAAAGAGUCCACACAUCAACCUCAGGACUAGCACACUUUGACUGUAUCAAAAUAAGCACCAUUAUUUCAUACUAUAAAAGAGUCAGAGUACUCUGAGAUCAAUUGAAAGUCACAUUUGUCUAGCUUUCCAUUACCAAGGUUAAUCUAACAAGGUUGUGAUUGUACACUUUGGGGAAAGGACAUGUUUCUAAUGUUUUAACAUGGUUUUCUGAUAAGCAUACAUAUUCUUUCCCUUAACCUGGGAACCUGUGAAUAUAUUAGAGUAUAAGUCAGAGGCACUAAAGCUGUUUAUCAAAUUAAGGCAAACACUCCUCAGUCUUAUUUCCCCUCCCACCCACUCUGCAGCCCUAGUACACUGUUUACCAUCAGCACUUCCCUGAGAGCUUUGCUACCAGACCUUACCCAAGGGGGGCUGUUAGGUAAGAGACUGGAAAACAAAGACUCGGCCUUGAGAAG